rnacentral:rRNA from 1 species
CAGCAGCCGCGGUAAAACGGAGGAUCCAAGCGUUAUCCGGAAUCAUUGGGUUUAAAGGGUCCGUAGGCGGUCUUGUAAGUCAGUGGUGAAAGCCCAUCGCUCAACGGUGGAACGGCCAUUGAUACUGCAGGACUUGAAUUAUUGGGAAGUAACUAGAAUAUGUAGUGUAGCGGUGAAAUGCUUAGAGAUUACAUGGAAUACCAAUUGCGAAGGCAGGUUACUACCAAUUGAUUGACGCUGAUGGACGAAAGCGUGGGUAGCGAACAGGAUUAGAUACCCCCGUAGUCCCUGUCUCUUAUAC